ACACAUGCAAGUCGAGCGGAAACGAGUUAACUGAACCUUCGGGGAACGUUAACGGCGUCGAGCGGCGGACGGGUGAGUAAUGCCUGGGAAAUUGCCCUGAUGUGGGGGAUAACCAUUGGAAACGAUGGCUAAUACCGCAUAAUAGCUUCGGCUCAAAGAGGGGGACCUUCGGGCCUCUCGCGUCAGGAUAUGCCCAGGUGGGAUUAGCUAGUUGGUGAGGUAAUGGCUCACCAAGGCGACGAUCCCUAGCUGGUCUGAGAGGAUGAUCAGCCACACUGGAACUGAGACACGGUCCAGACUCCUACGGGAGGCAGCAGUGGGGAAUAUUGCACAAUGGGCGCAAGCCUGAUGCAGCCAUGCCGCGUGUAUGAAGAAGGCCUUCGGGUUGUAAAGUACUUUCAGCAGUGAGGAAGGCGGAGUCGUUAAUAGCGGCCUCGUUUGACGUUAGCUGCAGAAGAAGCACCGGCUAACUCCGUGCCAGCAGCCGCGGUAAUACGGAGGGUGCGAGCGUUAAUCGGAAUUACUGGGCGUAAAGCGCAUGCAGGUGGUUUGUUAAGUCAGAUGUGAAAGCCCGGGGCUCAACCUCGGAAUUGCAUUUGAAACUGGCAGACUAGAGUACUGUAGAGGGGGGUAGAAUUUCAGGUGUAGCGGUGAAAUGCGUAGAGAUCUGAAGGAAUACCGGUGGCGAAGGCGGCCCCCUGGACAGAUACUGACACUCAGAUGCGAAAGCGUGGGGAGCAAACAGGAUUAGAUACCCUGGUAGUCCACGCCGUAAACGAUGUCUACUUGGAGGUUGUGGCCUUGAGCCGUGGCUUUCGGAGCUAACGCGUUAAGUAGACCGCCUGGGGAGUACGGUCGCAAGAUUAAAACUCAAAUGAAUUGACGGGGGCCCGCACAAGCGGUGGAGCAUGUGGUUUAAUUCGAUGCAACGCGAAGAACCUUACCUACUCUUGACAUCCAGAGAACUUUCCAGGAGAUGGAUUGGUGCCUUCGGGAACUCUGAGACAGGUGCUGCAUGGCUGUCGUCAGCUCGUGUUGUGAAAUGUUGGGUUAAGUCCCGCAACGAGCGCAACCCUUAUCCUUGU
rnacentral:rRNA from 1 species